rnacentral:tRNA from 3 species
GCUCGUGUAGCUCAGUUGGUUAGAGCGUCGUACUAAUAAUGCGAAGGUCGUAGGUUCAAUCCCUGCCAUGAGCA